AACUCAAAUGAAUUGACGGGGGCCCGCACAAGCGGUGGAGCAUGUGGUUUAAUUCGAUGCAACGCGAAGAACCUUACCUACUCUUGACAUCCAGAGAACUUAGCAGAGAUGCUUUGGUGCCUUCGGGAACUCUGAGACAGGUGCUGCAUGGCUGUCGUCAGCUCGUGUUGUGAAAUGUUGGGUUAAGUCCCGCAACGAGCGCAACCCUUAUCCUUUGUUGCCAGCGAUUCGGUCGGGAACUCAAAGGAGACUGCCGGUGAUAAACCGGAGGAAGGUGGGGAUGACGUCAAGUCAUCAUGGCCCUUACGAGUAGGGCUACACACGUGCUACAAUGGCGCAUACAAAGAGAAGCGACCUCGCGAGAGCAAGCGGACCUCACAAAGUGCGUCGUAGUCCGGAUCGGAGUCUGCAACUCGACUCCGUGAAGUCGGAAUCGCUAGUAAUCGUGGAUCAGAAUGCCACGGUGAAUACGUUCCCGGGCCUUGUACACACCGCCCGUCACACCAUGGGAGUGGGUUGCAAAAGAAGUAG
rnacentral:rRNA from 1 species